rnacentral:rRNA from 1 species
UACGUAGGGUGCAAGCGUUGUCCGGAAUUAUUGGGCGUAAAGAGCUUGUAGGCGGUUUGUCGCGUCUGCUGUGAAAUUUCGGGGCUCAACCCCGAACUUGCAGUGGGUACGGGCAGACUAGAGUGUGGUAGGGGAGACUGGAAUUCCUGGUGUAGCGGUGAAAUGCGCAGAUAUCAGGAGGAACACCGGUGGCGAAGGCGGCCCCCUGGACCGGUACUGACGCUGAGGCGCGAAAGCGUGGGUAGCAAACGGG